UACGUAGGGGGCAAGCGUUGUCCGGAAUCAUUGGGCGUAAAGAGCGCGCAGGCGGUCGUGCAAGUCGCGUGUGAAAGCCCCCGGCUCAACUGGGGAGGGUCACGCGAUACUGCUCGACUCGAAGGCAGGAGAGGGAAGUGGAAUUCCCGGUGUAGUGGUGAAAUGCGUAGAUAUCGGGAGGAACACCAGUGGCGAAGGCGACUUCCUGGCCUGUUCUUGACGCUGAGGCGCGAAAGCUAGGGUAGCAAACGGG
rnacentral:rRNA from 1 species